AUUGAACGCUGGCGGCAGGCCUAACACAUGCAAGUCGAGCGAGCGGCGGACGGGUGAGUAAUGUAUGGGGACUGCCCGAUAGAGGGGGAUAACUACUGGAAACGGUAGCUAAUACCGCAUACUAUCGGAUAACCCAUAUGGGAUUAGCUAGUAGGUGGGGUAAAGGCUCACCUAGGCGACGAUCCCUAGCUGGUCUGAGAGGAUGAUCAGCCAAACUGGGACCGGGACAAGGCCCAGACUCCUACGGAGGCAGCAGUGGGGAAGAUUGCACAAUGGGAGCAAGCCUGAUGCAGCCAUGCCGGGGGUAUGAAGAAGGCCUUCGGGUUGUAAAGUAAUUUCAGUCGGGAGGCGUUACCGACAGAAGAAGCACCGGCUAACUCCGUGCCAGCCGCCGCGGUAAUAC
rnacentral:rRNA from 1 species